ACGAACGCUGGCGGCGUGCCUCAUCCAUGCAAGUAGAACGCACAGUUUAUACCGUAGCUUGCUACACCAUAGCCUGUGAGUUGCGAACGGGUGAGUAACGCGUAGGUAACCUGCCUGGUAGCGGGGGAUAACUAUUGGAAACGAUAGCUAAUACCGCAUAAUAUUAAUUAUUGCAUGAUAAUUAAUUGAAAGGUGCAAUUGCACCACUACCAGAUGGACCUGCGUUGUAUUAGCUAGUAGGUGAGGUAACGGCUCACCUAGGCGACGAUACAUAGCCGACCUGAGAGGGUGAUCGGCCACACUGGGACUGAGACACGGCCCAGACUCCUACGGGAGGCAGCAGUAGGGAAUCUUCGGCAAUGGACGAAAGUCUGACCGAGCAACGCCGCGUGAGUGAAGAAGGUUUUCGGAUCGUAAAGCUCUGUUGUAAGAGAAGAACGGGUGUGAGAGUGGAAAGUUCACACUGUGACGGUAUCUUACCAGAAAGGGACGGCUAACUACGUG
rnacentral:rRNA from 1 species